rnacentral:rRNA from 1 species
CUGAGCAUACAGCAUACGCAGUCGGUUUGUAAGUCUGAUGUGAUAUCUCCGGGCUCAACCUGAGAUCUGCAUUGGAGACUGCAAGACUAGAAUUUGGCAGAGGGGGGUAGAAUUCCACGUGUAGCAGUGUAAUGCGUAGAUAUGUGGAGGACCACCGAUGGCGAAGGCAGCCCCCUGGGUCAAGAUUGACGCUCAUGCACGAAAGCGUGGGGAGCUAGCAGGAUUAGAUACCCUGGUAGUCCACGCCCUAAACGAUGUCUACUAGUUGUCGGGUCUUAAUUGACUUGGUAACGCAGCUAACGCGUGAAGUAGACCGCCUGGGGAGUACGGUCGCAAGAUUAAAACUCAAAGGAAUUGACGGGGACCCGCACAAGCGGUGGAUGAUGUGGAUUAAUUCGAUGCAACGCGAAAAACCUUACCUACCCUUGACAUGGCUGGAAUCCCCGAGAGAUUGGGGAGUGCUCGAAAGAGAACCAGUACACAGGUGCUGCAUGGCUGUCGUCAGCUCGUGUCGUGAGAUGUUGGGUUAAGUCCCGCAACGAGCGCAACCCUUGUCAUUAGUUGCUACGAAAGGGCACUCUAAUGAGACUGCCGGUGACAAACCGGAGGAAGGUGGGGAUGACGUCAAGUCCUCAUGGCCCUUAUGGGUAGGGCUUCACACGUCAUACAAUGGUACAUACAGAGCGCCGCCAACCCGCGAGGGGGAGCUAAUCGCAGAAAGUGUAUCGUAGUCCGGAUUGUAGUCUGCAACUCGACUGCAUGAAGUUGGAAUCGCUAGUAAUCGCGGAUCAGCAUGUCGCGGUGAAUACGUUCCCGGGUCUUGUACACACCGCCCUUCUUCACCAUGGGAGCGGGUUUUACCAGAAGUAGGUAGCUUAACCGCUAAGGAACGAGGGCU